rnacentral:rRNA from 1 species
ACUACGGGUGGCAGCAGUGAGGAAUAUUGGUCAAUGGCCGGAAGGCUGAACCAGCAAUGCCGCGUGAAGGUCAGUGCCCUAUGGGCGUUAAACUUCUUUUGUGCGGGAGCAAUAAUGGUCACGUGUGGCCAGACGAGAGUACCGUACGAAUAAGCAUCGGCUAACUCCGUUCCAGCAGCCGCGGUGAUACGGGGGAUGCAAGCAUUAUCCGGAGUUAUUGGGUUUAAAGGGUGCGUAGGGUGUGAGGUAAGUCAGCGGUGAAAUGCCCCCGCGCAACGGGGUGAAGUGCCAUUGAUACUGCCUUGCUGGAAUGCGGAUGCGGUGGGAGGAAUGUGUGGUGUAGCGGUGAAAUGCAUAGAUAUCACACAGAACACCGAUUGCGAAGGCAUCUCACGAAUCCGCGAUUGACGCUGAUGCACGAAAGCGUGGGUAUCAAACAGGAUUAGAUACCCCAGUAGUC